UAAUACGGAGGGUGCAAGCGUUAAUCGGAAUUACUGGGCGUAAAGCGCACGCAGGCGGUCUGUCAAGUCGGAUGUGAAAUCCCCGGGCUCAACCUGGGAACUGCAUUCGAAACUGGCAGGCUAGAGUCUUGUAGAGGGGGGUAGAAUUCCAGGUGUAGCGGUGAAAUGCGUAGAGAUCUGGAGGAAUACCGGUGGCGAAGGCGGCCCCCUGGACAAAGACUGACGCUCAGGUGCGAAAGCGUGGGGAGCAAACAGGAUUAGAUACCCUGGUAGUCCACGCCGUAAACGAUGUCGACUUGGAGGUUGUGCCCUUGAGGCGUGGCUUCCGGAGCUAACGCGUUAAGUCGACCGCCUGGGGAGUACGGCCGCAAGGUUAAAACUCAAAUGAAUUGACGGGGGCCCGCACAAGCGGUGGAGCAUGUGGUUUAAUUCGAUGCAACGCGAAGAACCUUACCUACUCUUGACAUCCAGAGAACUUAGCAGAGAUGCUUUGGUGCCUUCGGGAACUCUGAGACAGGUGCUGCAUGGCUGUCGUCAGCUCGUGUUGUGAAAUGUUGGGUUAAGUCCCGCAACGAGCGCAACCCUUAUCCUUUGUUGCCAGCGGU
rnacentral:rRNA from 1 species